GACGGAGGGUGCUAGCGUUGUUCGGAAUUACUGGGCGUAAAGCGCAUGCAGGCGGAUCGUUAAGUCGGGGGUGAAAGCCCGAGGCUCAACCUCGGAACUGCCUUCGAUACUGGCGAUCUUGAGUCCGGGAGAGGUGAGUGGAACUCCGAGUGUAGAGGUGAAAUUCGUAGAUAUUCGGAAGAACACCAGUGGCGAAGGCGGCUCACUGGCCCGGUACUGACGCUGAGAUGCGAAAGCGUGGGGAGCAAACAGG
rnacentral:rRNA from 1 species